UACGUAGGGUGCGAGCGUUGUCCGGAAUUAUUGGGCGUAAAGAGCUCGUAGGCGGUUUGUUGCGUCUAUCGUGAAAACCUGCGGCUUAACUGUGGGCUUGCGGUGGAUACGGGCAGACUUGAGUUCGGUAGGGGAGACUGGAAUUCCUGGUGUAGCGGUGAAAUGCGCAGAUAUCAGGAGGAACACCGGUGGCGAAGGCGGGUCUCUGGGCCGAUACUGACGCUGAGGAGCGAAAGCGUGGGGAGCGAACAGG
rnacentral:rRNA from 3 species